UUCCCAUCAGGAGCAGACUGGGACUGUUGGGAGAGGAGGUGGUUCCCAUCAGGAGCAGACUGGGACCGUUGGGGGAGGAGGUGGUUCCCAUCAGGAGCAGACUGGGACCGUUGGGGGAGGAGGUGGUUCCCGUCAGGAGCAGACUGGGACCAUUGGGGGAGGAGGUGGUUCCCAUCAGGAACAGACUGGGACCGUUGUGGGAGGAGGUGGUUCCCGUCAGGAGCAGACUGGGACCGUUGGGAGAGGAGGUGGUUCCCAUCAGGAGCAGACUGGGACCGUUGGGGGAGGAGGUGGUUCCCAUCAGGAACAGCCUUGGACCGUUGUGGGAGGAGGUGGUUCCCGUCAGGAGCAGACUGGGACCGUUGUGGGAGGAGGUGGUUCCCAUCAGGAGCAGACUGGGACCGUUGUGGGAGGAGGUGGUUCCCAUCAGGAGCAGACUGGGACCGUUGGGGAAGGAGGUGGUUCCCGUCAGGAGCAGACUGGGACCGUUGUGGGAGGAGGUGGUUCCCAUCAGGAGCAGACUGGGACCGUUGGGAGAGGAGGUGGUUCCCAUCAGGAGCAGACUGGGACUGUUGGGAGAGGAGGUGGUUCCCAUCAGGAACAGACUGGGACCGUUGGGAGAGGCGGUGGUUCCCAUCAGGAGCAGACUGGGACUGUUGGGAGAGGAGGUGGUUCCCAUCAGGAGCAGACUGGGACCGUUGGGGAAGGAG
rnacentral:lncRNA from 1 species